rnacentral:ncRNA from 1 species
UACCUGAUUGAUUCUGUCAGCGUCGAUAUGCUCAAGUAAAAGAUUAAGCCAUGCAUGCUUUGAUUCAUAAAUGAAA